GUGCCAGCCGCCGCGGUAAUACGUAGGCAGCGAGCGUUGUUCGGAGUUACUGGGCGUAAAGCGUGCGUAGGCGGCGGCCCAAGUCUGGUGUGAAAUCUCCCGGCUUAACCGGGAGGGUGCGCCGGAAACUGGGUUGCUUGAGUGCCGGAGAGGCAGGCGGAAUUCCUGGUGUAGCGGUGAAAUGCGUAGAUAUCAGGAGGAACACCCGUGGUGUAGACGGCCUGCUGGACGGCCACUGACGCUGAGGCACGAAAGCGUGGGGAGCAAACAGGAUUAGAAACCCCCGUAGUCC
rnacentral:rRNA from 1 species